AGGGGACAGAGGGUCCCCUUCUCUCCUUUACCACCUGUGUAGGCUUGAGUUCUGGUCGUUUACCCAGCCAGAAAUCAACUUGUGACUGAGAUGAGAGGUCACAGGAGGACGAAAAUCCUGGCUUUACUCUUCUUUACACAAAGAUGUCUUCCAUGAUCUGUGUGUUGUAUUUAAGUAACAAUAAAGGACAGUGAGCUGACCUUGAUACUGCAAUGAUUCUAUAGGUCUCCAGCGCAAUGUCCAUAUUGGCUGCAUUUGAUCAAAUUGAUCAAUAUUACGCAAUACUGCAUAUUUCUGUAUUAAACAUUUGUAUCAAA